rnacentral:rRNA from 1 species
ACUGGUUUGAUCCUGCUCAGAUUGAACGCUGGCGGAAUGCUUUACACAUGCAAGUCGAACGGUAGAGGGGCAACCCCUUGAGAGUGGCGAACGGGUGAGUAAGUAGUAUCGGAACGUGCCCAGUCGUGGGGGAUAACGUAGCGAAAGUUACGCUAAUACCGCAUACGAUCUAAGGAUGAAAGCGGGGGAUCGCAAGACCUCGCGCGAUUGGAGCGGCCGAUAUCAGAUUAAGUAGUUGGUGGGGUAAAAGGCUCACCAAGCCAACGAUCUGUAGCUGGUCUGAGAGGACGACCAGCCACACUGGAACUGAGACACGGUCCAGACUCCUACGGGAGCAGCAGUGGGGAAUUUGGACAAUGGACGCAAGUCUGAUCCAGCCAUUCCCGCGUGCAGGAUG